GACGAACGCUGGCGGCGUGCUUAACACAUGCAAGUCGAACGGAAAGGCCUUGCUUUUGUGGGGUGCUCGAGUGGCGAACGGGUGAGUAACACGCGCGUAACCUGCCUUUGAUUUUGGGGUAACUUCAGGAAACUGGGGCUAAUACCGGAUAGGAGCUCCUGCUGCAUGGUGGGGGUUGGACUGUUUCGGCGGUUGGGGAUGGACUCGGGGCUUAUCGGCUUGCUGGUGGGGUAGUGGCUUACCAAGGCUUUGACGGGUAGACGGCCUGGGAGGGUGGCCGGGGACAAUGGGCCUAAGAGACGGCCCAGACGCCUACGGGAGGCAGCAGUGGGGAAUAUGACAGAGCGGUCGGGAGCCAGAGGCGGCGGCGCCGCGAGCGGGAUGCCGGGCUGCGGGUGGUGAACCGCUUUGGCCUGUGACGAAGCGUGAGUGACGGUAAUGGAUAAGGAAGCACCGGCUAACUACGUG
rnacentral:rRNA from 1 species